UACGAGUGCUCCAAGCGUUAUCCGGAAUCAUUGGGCGUAAAGGGUGUGUAGGCGGUUGUGUUAGUCUUUCGUUAAAUUCUUCGGCUUAACCGGGGGCAUGCGAAGGAAACGGCACAACUAGAGGAUGCGAGAGGUGAAUGGAACUCAUGGAGUAGGGGUGAAAUCCGUUGAUAUCAUGGGGAACACCAAAUGCGAAGGCAAUUCACUGGCGCACUCCUGACGCUGAGGCGCGAAAGCGUGGGGAGCAAACAGG
rnacentral:rRNA from 1 species